UCCAAAUAUUGUUCUCAACAAUCAAGGAAUUCUGGAUUGAGUUCACAACCUGGUGUUGUAAGGUAAUAAUUAACAAGAAUAAAUACUGUAGUCUGCUUUUAGUGCUUUAUAUGAAGAAAAUGACAAACUGGCCCAGCUAAAGUAGUCACCCAGGGUCUGUAUAUGAGCCAUGCUGGCCCGUUAAACCGAGUUAGCUUGCAUGGCCGGGCCAAGUUGUUAUUUGUUUCACAUGAGGCGGGCUAGCCUGACAAGUGCUACCGUAUAAGAAAUUACCAAACAAUUUUAUAUAUGGUGGGAAAGCGAUAUUUGUUUUAAUUUUGAAAAUGGUAUUUUAUCGAAGGAAACUGCUUCAGAAGUUUUAAUAUUGUUCAUUAAUGUUAUUUUUUUAAAUUCUUAUAUGCUUUCUACUGUAGAUAGAAUAAAGCAUGCGUUGUGACACAAUUGUCAAUUGCCAGUCUGGUUUGCCGGGCUGGCCGGGAAAGGCGAGAUCUUGCCUUGCUCAAACGGGAGCCCAUCAAAUUAACCAGGCCAGCCCGGUUCUCAUGCGAAUCAAAUCUCAAAAACAUAAAAACAAUAUACAUGUACAAGACCAGAUCUCGGCACUUGCAAGUCGGUCCAGCCAGACGAAUCAGCCUUGAUCUUGUAAACAGCCCAUGUAAGGACCUUGUAUGUAGGAAUUAUUACAUUUCUUGAUACUGCAUAAAAAAUUUAGUAAAUAUUAACAACACAAUUACAUGUGAAUCCUAAAUCUACCCCCAAUGCAGCCCAUUGUAAGGCCUGUUGGCACUGUACUCAAUUUUGGUAUCCGUAACAUGUUUACCAUGCUUGGACUACCGUACUCCUAUUCACGCAGGCUGAGCAUGGAUAAAUUUGGUACAGGUACCAAGUUUAUCUGUGCCAUACUUGGCGUAAAAAAAUACCUGUGGUUCCGGUUCCCGAUCGACCCUAUUUUUUUCUGCCCACCCUAUUAUUUUUUCAAAGUAAUUGACUGUGUGACCCUAUUUUCUCCAGAUGGUUGUGGGCUGCUGCCAAAUGACAUCUGUUGUCACACUAAUUAUUGAAAAAUCCAUGAAAAAAUAUUUAAAAAAAAAGGUAUUUCCAACCUACCAACCCUAAUUUUUUUGCGAUAUGAAACCGGAACCACAGGUAUUCUUUUACGCUCUACUAGAUUAAUCUUGCUAUCUCAAUGCCAAACAAUUGUACAGGGUCCUGAUGUAUUAACCCAAUUAGUGGCAGCACUCUUCCCCUGAGUCCCUGACGAGUUAAAUCGUCUGGCAUUAGACAGAGUAAAAUAAUAAAGUAGGGCGCAUCUUGGUGCAUUGGCACUUAAAGGGUUAAUGUAAUGUUACUGCACUACAUUGAUGCUAACUGUAUUAUGAAUUAAAGUUAUUUAAGAGAAGACAGUCAGUUGAGUAUCAUAUUUAGUCCACAAGAUAUAUUCCCCUUUAAACAGGAACUGUUGCAUGACAGAUCAUAAAUUAAUUGACAUAAUCUACUUGGCUAACUAAUAAUUAUUAGACAGUAGUGCACAAUGCAACUAAAUGGUUAAUUUGACACAUGGGCAGAUAGUCUGAUUAACCCAUUGAGCAUGACUGCUUUCCUCUUGACAAGUAAAGUUAUCUGGUGUUAGACAGAGUAAAAUAAUAAAGUAUGAUGCAACAAAAUUUAGUGUCUGGUGAAACUAAGCUUGCUGAUUAAUAGUGAUUAUUGGUUAUUACUUUUUAAAAUAACAUGGGUCCAAGGUCUUUGCCAGAAGAAGUUGCGCCAGAUGGUGGUUUGCCUAAUACCAGAUGGUAGCGGGUGGUGCCCAGAUACCUGAUGGCACCAGAUAGUAGUCUACAGGGUUUUUUCCAGGAAUUUUUCUUGGGUCCAUUUUUGCAGAGAAGAUUGAGUUUAGCUGAACAGCUGGGGUGGCUGCACCCCCCCCCCCCUACCGCGGGAGGCUGACACCUAUGCUCAAUAAAUGUAGUUGAGAUGGAAUGUGUUAAAGCAGGGUCACUAAGGGACACUAUAAACUGGUUGAAGAUGGCGAAUGCAUAGUUUUUCUUGUGUUGCAAGAUGGAUUCCAGCCAUUUCUUAAUUGUCGGGCUUCCAACUGAAAACUAAUUUAGUAAUUUCCACACGUCACAAAAUUUUAUAACUCAAACAACUUCAUCUUCAUGAGAAUAUUGAGUUUCAAAACUCAAUUCAAGAUUCAAUUUUUGGGCCCGUUUGACGGCCCUAAAAAAACCCUGGUCUACUGGGUACAGGUCUGGAGAAAGCCUGUCUCUGGUUAACAUAUGUGUAUUUGUCAUACCCUGCAUCACCUUGUACAUACAAAUGAAAUAUGAACUGGCUUUGUUAUUGGUUAAAUAAAGGCUGUUUAUUACAUCCACAGUUAGUAGUCCCUUUUACACUGUAGGUUAAUGAUAAGUCUCAAGGUCAUUGUUCUGGCAUAUUUUGUAUAAAGUAAUGAUUACAUUUUCAAUAAGUAAAAUUUUUCUUUUACAGAUUCUAAGAUGAUUGAUCUUUGAUGGCAAUUGCAUGCUGUGUUUGGAACAGUAUUAAUUAAAUGUACAUGAGGAAAUCAAUGGACUUGGUGAAUGAACAAUGGUAUAGAUAAUAUUGAUUGUGAAAUGGACAAAAUGUUAAACAAAAUAUGGCUUCAGGAGAAACCAGGGUUUUUUCAGGGAUUUUUUAGGGCCCUUUAAACAGCCCCAAAAACUCAAUCUUGAAUUGAGUUUUGAAACUCAAUCUUCUCAUCAAAGUUUCAGUGCAGUAAAAAUGAAGUUGUUUGAGUUAUAAAAUGUUGUGACGUGUGGAAAUUAGUUUUCAGUUGGAAGCCCGACAAGCCAUCUUUCACCAGUUUAUAGUGUCCCUGUUUUAACACAUUCCGUCUCAAUUACAUUUAUUGAGUACAGGUGUCAGCCCACCGGUAGGGGGGGGGGGAUGCAGCCACCCCAACUGUUCAGCUAAACUCAAUCUUCUCUGCAAAAACGGACCCAAGAGAAAAUCCUGGAAAAAACCCUGGGAGAAACUCAAUUCACUACAACACAUUGCUGUGCUAUCAGAACUACUAUAAUUUCAG
rnacentral:lncRNA from 1 species